UACGUAGGGUGCGAGCGUUGUCCGGAAUUAUUGGGCGUAAAGAGCUCGUAGGCGGUCUGUCGCGUCGGCUGUGAAAACCCGGGGCUCAACCCCGGGCCUGCAGUCGAUACGGGCAGACUAGAGUGUGGUAGGGGAGACUGGAAUUCCUGGUGUAGCGGUGAAAUGCGCAGAUAUCAGGAGGAACACCGGUGGCGAAGGCGGGUCUCUGGGCCAUAACUGACGCUGAGGAGCGAAAGCGUGGGGAGCAAACGGG
rnacentral:rRNA from 1 species